rnacentral:rRNA from 1 species
GACGAACGCUGGCGGCGCGCCUAACACAUGCAAGUCGAACGGAGCUGCGAGAAGCUUGCUUUUCUUAGCUUAGUGGCGAACGGGUGAGUAACGCGUGAGUAACCUGCCCUGGAGUGGGGGACAACAGUUGGAAACGACUGCUAAUACCGCAUAAGCCCACGAUCCGGCAUCGGAUUGAGGGAAAAGGAUUUAUUCGCUUCAGGAUGGACUCGCGUCCAAUUAGCUAGUUGGUGAGGUAACGGCCCACCAAGGCGACGAUUGGUAGCCGGACUGAGAGGUUGGGCGGCCACAUUGGGACUGAGACACGGCCCAGACUCCUACGGGAGGCAGCAGUGGGGGAUAUUGCACAGUGGGGGAAACCCUGAUGCAGCGACGCCGCGUGGAGGAAGAAGGUUUUCGGAUUGUAAACUCCUGUCGUUAGGGACGAUAAUGACGGUACCUAACAAGAAAGCACCGGCUAACUACGUG